rnacentral:vault_RNA from 15 species
GGGCUGGCUUUAGCCCAGCGGUUCCUUCCCUCAUUUAAACAUUUCUUACAAUUUCCCUUGGUGGUUCGAAUCCCAGGACCAUCAGAGACCCGCGGGCGCUUCCCGGUCCUUUU